UACCAGCACCCCGAGUGGUCGGGACGAUUAUUGGGCCUAAAGCGUCCGUAGCCGGUUCUACAAGUCUUCCGUUAAAUCCACCUGCUCAACAGUUGGGCUGCGGAGGAUACUAUAGAGCUAGGAGGCGGGAGAGGCAAGCGGUACUUAGUGGGUAGGGGUAAAAUCCGUUGAUCCAUUGAAGACCACCAGUGGCGAAGGCGGCUUGCCAGAACGCACUCGACGGUGAGGGAUGAAAGCUGGGGGAGCAAACCGG
rnacentral:rRNA from 1 species